rnacentral:lncRNA from 1 species
GUUUAAAGGAAUCAAAGCUAGGAAUUUGAUGGAAUGAUGGUGACUGCAUCCUAUAUGACUAUAUUUUGAGUAAAGCAGAGCAAAGUAUAGUCUACUAUCAAAUAUGCUGGUUGGAUGAGGUUCAAGGACAUUUGAGUUUCCUGCCAUCCCACAAUGGUGUCCUCAGUAUAAUCAAGAUGCUGGAUGAAUCUAGGUUUUGAAGAAAGAAGGCAAGCAUAAACUAUCCAAGAGUACAAUGGAUCUGACGGUUGCUUGCAGUAUGUCACUAGGAGAAAGCUAUGAAUCACAACCCUCGAUACUGCUCC